GUUUUCCUACAUAAGAGAAUUUGAGAAAAGUAAGAUAAAAUUUGCUAUUAAUUAAAACAUUAAGUCACUAAUGAAGAUAUAGUAAGAUGCAACUGCAGUAAGGGAGGAGCUUCAUAUAUUUCUAUACAAAUGGACAUUUAAUGAUAAUGUAGAGAAAUCAAGGGCUCAUAAGCUCCCUCCAUUCUGAAACCACAUUUCUACCGUAGGAUCACCAAAAAGGGGAAAAUAUCUAUGACAUACAAAUAUAAUAAUUAAGAUAAACUUUACCCAAGUAAACCUUCCCCAAGUUUACCCUCCCCACUUGCAUAAGUAGCUUACAAGGGAAUUUAAGGGAACAAGUAUAUAAACCCCCAAAGUUUCCUUAAACAACCAUCUCUAUCAAACAUUCUCUUCACAAACACACCAACACAACAUAGGAUUGACAAGGAGUCACGGAGGGAGAGUUGCAGAUAAUUGUAGGAUCAAGUCCUACAAUCCAACAACACUUUUUCACCAUCAAAAGGUUAUCUUUACAAGUUAAAGUCGGAGCGAGAAUUUCAAGUUGGAAAUUAAACGAAUGAGGUUAAGCGGUGAUGACGAGGGGCGAUAUUGAGCAGAGAUGGCGAAUGUGUUUCAUUUGGAUAAAUGCUUGGAUGCACCGUGUCUCCAUACACGGUGUCAUUCUCUCUUGACUCUUCCGCUGCAAUGUAAAUAACGAGCUUAUGUUCCUUUGUGUCACGCACUCUGAUAUAUUUUGCCAGCUAUUUCAAUUUUAUUUCAUUCA